UGACCAAAUGGUCCGAGUACACAGUUAUUUCGUAGUGCAUUUCUUUUAGACAAUAAAGAAAAAUUAAAAAAAUCCCACCUGCGCUUUCUCAAUAAUAUUUUUACAGUGUGUUGUACUACUUUUGGGACAAAUUAUAUCAAAAUUAUAGAAAACUUCAUCAGCUCUAACUCAAAAUAUGGACAAUUUUAUGUUAAGGGGGUCUUGAAAUCUUUUGACAGCUUCCGAAGUGCUAAUUUUUGACCUUUUUCAGCUGGACCUAAUCACUACUUUACAUUAAUAUUUAUGACCCAAAUUUUUUU
rnacentral:lncRNA from 1 species